rnacentral:rRNA from 1 species
CCUACGGGAGGCAGCAGUGGGGAAUAUUGGGCAAUGGGCGCAAGCCUGACCCAGCAACGCCGCGUGAAGGAAGAAGGCUUUCGGGUUGUAAACUUCUUUUCUCAGGGACGAAGCAAGUGACGGUACCUGAGGAAUAAGCCACGGCUAACUACGUGCCAGCAGCCGCGGUAAUACGUAGGUGGCAAGCGUUAUCCGGAUUUACUGGGUGUAAAGGGCGUGUAGGCGGGAAAGCAAGUCAGAUGUGAAAACCCUGGGCUCAACCUGUGGCCUGCAUUUGAAACUGUUUUUCUUGAGUGCUGGAGAGGCAGACGGAAUUCCUAGUGUAGCGGUGAAAUGCGUAGAUAUACGGAGGAACACCAGUGGCGAAGGCGGACUGCUGGACAGCAACUGACGCUGAGGCGCGAAAGCGUGGGGAGCAAACAGGAUUAGAUACCCUAGUAGUC